CUGUGUGACCUGAAGGGGUGGAGCCUGGCUGCACCUUUCUUAGACCUCAUUUAAGGGCUGACUGCCACUAGGGAAAGGUCUCCAGUUGGAGAUCCCUCCUUUAUGGAGUCUUUCCUGCAAGCCUAUUUCUUUGGAGAAGGAAAGUAAGAUACAGACUCAGCCCUCUGAGUUUCAGCCCAUCACCUUUGCAUUUCAUUACUGCUAUCCCAUGCAUCUUUACUUCAAAAGGCAAUGUCGAUAAUGCAGCGACAUUUUAGUUGUUGCUGAGCAGCACUGCACAGAUCCAAAGACGUGUCAACUUCUUCAACUGCCAGUAAAGAGAACUGAGGGGUCACAAAGAGCUAGGAGGGGACAGAACCAGGACAACUGACCUAAAAUGGCCAAAGGAAUAUUACAUAUCAUGUGACCUCAUGUGAAAAAAUGUAAAAACAAAAAAAAAAGGUGGGGAGUUUGUUGGGCAAGCAGCUGCUGCUUGGGGAUUGGCUGAGCAUUGGUCAGCAAUUGUUUUGUGCACCACUUGUUUUGUGUGUAUAUGUAUUAUAUCUUUAUUGUUAUUAUUCUCCUUUCAUCUUCCUUUCCUGUCUUAGUAAAUAUUUUUUAUCUCAGUCCACAAGCUCUGCUUUGUUAGUUUGUAUUUUUUUUUUCUGAUUCUCUUCCCACAUCCUAGGGGGGUUGGGAAGGAUUGGGAGUAAGUGAAUGACUAUGUGAUGGUCAGCUGCUGCUGGAUUAAACCACAACAGAUGUUCUGUCUGAGAUCCUAUCAUUCAUGACUAAAUCAAUGUACAAAUUCAAAAGAGACUAAUAGCUAAAUGGGGCUUAUAACAAAGUGUGUAGUGUGUAACCAAUAAUGUGACAAGGUUAUAAAACCUGCUGGAAAGGAAUAAUUAAAAUUCUGAUUUCAAAAUCAGUAUUCUAGGAUUCUUUUUUUUACUUUUUUCUACC